ACGACACGGAUGACAAGGUAAGUGACAUCGUACAUGCUCUGGGUGUCUUGAGGAGCUUGUCUUUGGAUGAUGCUGAGCAGGUCUUUCUUUCUGGUAACGGUUAUCAUUACAGUGAAGUAAAAGAAUUUAACAGACAGAUUGACAAACAACUGACAAAAGAAGAGAGACCAUUUAAUAGUGGAUACCCUUCCAGCCGCAACCCAGUACUGGGAAACACCCAUUUACACUUAUAUACUUGAACAUGGGGAGAACAUGCAAACUCCACACAGAAAUGACCACUGGCCCAGCCGGGGCUUGAACCAGCAACCUUCUUGCUGUGAGGCGACGGUGCUAACCACUGUGCUGCCCCAUGUGCUCUAUGCGGGUGAGUGGGAUUGACAAACCACCUGGAGGACACACUCUUGCUGUCUUAAUGCACAAGACAUUUUGUUAUAAAUAAUCAUGUGCGUUUCAUGUUUAUUUAUAAAUCUGCUAAUUUAUCUCAUAGCACUUCAUUUUUGUCUUGAUAUUUAAUAUCUUUUGUUUAAAUACACUAUGAACAGCAGCUGCGCUAAUUAUUUUCUUUGUUCCCUAUUUCCACCUGGGGAUAUUUAUCUAGAGGCCUCUAGAGAUCGUGACCUGUGAAGAGAUGAUGCCACCAUAGAGGACUUCUAGAUGUAUCCAUAAUCCUGGACCAGACCGCAUCACGAGCAGAUGCAGUGGUGGUCAUGGAGAAGUGGAGAGCAUGAUACUGAUUAAUGAAAGACCCCAGUGACAGAUG
ensembl:processed_transcript